rnacentral:rRNA from 1 species
GGGACAACAGCCAGAAAUGGCUGCUAAUACCGCAUAAGCCUGCUGUGCCGCAUGACACAGCAGGGAAAACCACGGUGGUACAGGAUGGGCCCGCGUCUGAUUAGUUAGUUGGCAGGGUAACGGCCUACCAAGACAACGAUCAGUAGCCGGCUUGAGAGAGUGGACGGCCACAUUGGGACUGAGACACGGCCCAGACUCCUGCGGGAGGCAGCAGUGGGGAAUAUUGCACAAUGGGGGGAACCCUGAUGCAGCAAUGCCGCGUGGGUGAAGAAGCACUCCGGUGCGUAAAGCCCUGUCAGCAGGGAAGAAAAUGACAGUACCUGGACAAGAAGCCCCGGCUAACUACGUGCCAGCAGCCGCGGUAAUACGUAGGGGGCAAGCGUUAUCCGGAUUUACUGGGUGUAAAGGGAGCGCAGGCGGCGUGGCAAGUCAGACGUGAAAACCCGGGGCCCAACCCCGGGAGUGCAUUUGAAACUGCCAUGCUGGAGUGCCGGAGAGGUAAGCGGAAUUCCUAGUGUAGCGGUGAAAUGCGUAGAUAUUAGGAGGAACACCAGUGGCGGAGGCGGCUUACUGGACGGUAACUGACGCUGAGGCUCGAAAGCGUGGGGAGCAAACAGGAUUAGAUACCCUGGUAGUCCACGCCGUAAAC